UUCGUCACACUAUCAUUAACUGAAUCCAUAGGUUAAUGAGGCGAACCGGGGGAACUGAAACAUCUAAGUACCCCGAGGAAAAGAAAUCAACCGAGAUUCCCCCAGUAGCGGCGAGCGAACGGGGAGCAGCCCAGAGCCUGAAUCAGUGUGUGUGUUAGUGGAAGCGUCUGGAAAGGCGCGCGAUACAGGGUGACAGCCCCGUACACAAAAAUGCACAUGCUGUGAGCUCGAUGAGUAGGGCGGGACACGUGGUAUCCUGUCUGAAUAUGGGGGGACCAUCCUCCAAGGCUAAAUACUCCUGACUGACCGAUAGUGAACCAGUACCGUGAGGGAAAGGCGAAAAGAACCCCGGCGAGGGGAGUGAAAAAGAACCUGAAACCGUGUACGUACAAGCAGUGGGAGCACGCUUAGGCGUGUGACUGCGUACCUUUUGUAUAAUGGGUCAGCGACUUAUAUUCUGUAGCAAGGUUAACCGAAUAGGGGAGCCGAAGGGAAACCGAGUCUUAACUGGGCGUUAAGUUGCAGGGUAUAGACCCGAAACCCGGUGAUCUAGCCAUGGGCAGGUUGAAGGUUGGGUAACACUAACUGGAGGACCGAACCGACUAAUGUUGAAAAAUUAGCGGAUGACUUGUGGCUGGGGGUGAAAGGCCAAUCAAACCGGGAGAUAGCUGGUUCUCCCCGAAAGCUAUUUAGGUAGCGCCUCGUGAAUUCAUCUCCGGGGGUAGAGCACUGUUUCGGCAAGGGGGUCAUCCCGACUUACCAACCCGAUGCAAACUACGAAUACCGGAGAAUGUUAUCACGGGAGACACACGGCGGGUGCUAACGUCCGUCGUGAAGAGGGAAACAACCCAGACCGCCAGCUAAGGUCCCAAAGUCAUGGUUAAGUGGGAAACGAUGUGGGAAGGCCCAGACAGCCAGGAUGUUGGCUUAGA
rnacentral:rRNA from 1 species